UCCGAGGCGAAGAGCAGAGUCCGUACUUGCCCUGGAGCAGCCUCCUUGGAGGACCCACAGGUUUGCCUUUUCCAGCUCCCAGUUGAGAAACAAACCUACGAUCCUGGGAAAAAAUGGGGAAGCCGAUAGCUGAUCAGCUUCCUUGGAUUUUGCUGAUGACCCCGGAGAGUUUUGCCUGAAGAUGGAAACACUGGAGUCGGAGCUGACCUGUCCUAUUUGUCUGGAGCUUUUUGAGGACCCUCUCCUGCUUCCCUGUGCACAUAGCCUCUGUUUCAACUGUGCCCACCGCAUCCUGGUCUCUCACUGUGCCACCAACGAGCCUGUGGAGUCCAUCAACGCCUUCCAGUGCCCCACCUGCCGGCAUGUCAUCACGCUCAGCCAGCGAGGUCUAGACGGGC
rnacentral:lncRNA from 1 species